ACCCACUAGUUACUCGACCGCGG
rnacentral:siRNA from 1 species